AAGUCGUAACAAGGUAACCGUAGGUGAACCUGCGGUUGGAUCAUUACUAAAAUCUUGGAUUCGUCUGGCAUGCCAGCGACUCUAUACAUUUUGUGAAUAGUAUCAAGUCUCUGGUGGGUUUAACCGCCCACCACUUUAACCUAGUAGUAUCAUUAGUCUUUAAAAUAAAAAGUAUAAUUAAAAACAACUUUUGGCAACGGAUCUCUAGGCUCUC
rnacentral:misc_RNA from 1 species